rnacentral:rRNA from 1 species
UACAGAGGCCUCGAGCGUUAGGCGGAAUCACUGGGCUUAAAGCGUGUGUAGGUGGAUGCCUAAGUACCUUGUGAAAUCCCACGGCUUAACCGUGGAACUGCUGGGUAUACUGGGCGUCUUGAGCCACUCAGGGGCUACCGGAACAAGCGGUGGAGCGGUGAAAUGCGUAGAUAUCGCUUGGAACGCCAAUGGUGAAAACAGGUAGCUGGGGGUGUGCUGACACUGAGACACGGAAAGCCAGGGGAGCAAACGGG